rnacentral:rRNA from 1 species
GACGUAGGGCGCGAGCGUUGUCCGGAUUUAUUGGGCGUAAAGAGCUCGUAGGCGGCUUGUCGCGUCGUCUGUGAAAUCCCGCGGCUCAACUGCGGGUCUGCAGUCGAUACGGGCAGGCGUAGAGUUCGGUAGGGGAGACUGGAAUUCCUGGUGUAGCGGUGAAAUGCGCAGAUAUCAGGAGGAACACCGGUGGCGAAGGCGGGUCUCUGGGCCGAUACUGACGCUGAGGAGCGAAAGCGUGGGGAGCGAACAGGA